UACGGAGGGAGCUAGCGUUGUUCGGAAUUACUGGGCGUAAAGCGCACGUAGGCGGAUCUUUAAGUCAGGGGUGAAAUCCCGGAGCUCAACUCCGGAACUGCCUUUGAUACUGGAGAUCUUGAGUCCGGGAGAGGUGAGUGGAACUGCGAGUGUAGAGGUGAAAUUCGUAGAUAUUCGCAAGAACACCAGUGGCGAAGGCGGCUCACUGGCCCGGUACUGACGCUGAGGUGCGAAAGCGUGGGGAGCAAACAGG
rnacentral:rRNA from 1 species